UACAGAGGGGGCUAGCGUUGUUCGGAAUUACUGGGCGUAAAGGGCGCGUAGGCGGCCCGCUAAGUCGAACGUGAAAUCCCCGGGCUCAACCCGGGAACUGCGUCCGAUACUGGCAGGCUUGAAUCCGGGAGAGGGAUGUGGAAUUCCAGGUGUAGCGGUGAAAUGCGUAGAUAUCUGGAGGAACACCGGUGGCGAAGGCGGCGUUCUGGACUGCUACUGACACUGAGGAACGAAAGCCAGGGGAGCAAACGGG
rnacentral:rRNA from 1 species